UGCAAGUCGAGCGGGCCUUUCGGGGUCAGCGGCGGACGGGUGAGUAACGCGUGGGAACGUGCCCUCUGGUUCGGAAUAACUCAGGGAAACUUGAGCUAAUACCGGAUACGCCCUUUUGGGGAAAGGCUUGCUGCCGGAGGAUCGGCCCGCGUCUGAUUAGCUAGUUGGUGAGGUAACGGCUCACCAAGGCGACGAUCAGUAGCUGGUCUGAGAGGAUGAUCAGCCACACUGGGACUGAGACACGGCCCAGACUCCUACGGGAGGCAGCAGUGGGGAAUAUUGGACAAUGGGCGCAAGCCUGAUCCAGCCAUGCCGCGUGAGUGAUGAAGGCCUUAGGGUUGUAAAGCUCUUUUAUCCGGGACGAUAAUGACGGUACCGGAGGAAUAAGCCCCGGCUAACUUCGUGCCAGCAGCCGCGGUAAUACGAAGGGGGCUAGCGUUGCUCGGAAUCACUGGGCGUAAAGGGCGCGUAGGCGGCGUUUUAAGUCGGGGGUGAAAGCCUGUGGCUCAACCACAGAAUGGCCUUCGAUACUGGGACGCUUGAGUAUGGUAGAGGUUGGUGGAACUGCGAGUGUAGAGGUGAAAUUCGUAGAUAUUCGCAAGAACACCGGUGGCGAAGGCGGCCAACU
rnacentral:rRNA from 1 species